GUGGCUGUGGCUCAGUGGUAGAGCGCUUGCCUAGCGUGCGUGAGGAACUGGGUUUGAUUCUCAGCACCACA
rnacentral:tRNA from 1 species